rnacentral:rRNA from 1 species
UACGUAGGUGGCAAGCGUUGUCCGGAAUUAUUGGGCGUAAAGCGCGCGCAGGCGGUCCUUUAAGUCUGAUGUGAAAGCCCACGGCUCAACCGUGGAGGGUCAUUGGAAACUGGGGGACUUGAGUGCAGGAGAGAAGAGUGGAAUUCCACGUGUAGCGGUGAAAUGCGUAGAGAUGUGGAGGAACACCAGUGGCGAAGGCGACUCUUUGGCCUGGUAACUGACGCUGAGGCGCGAAAGCGUGGGGAGCAAACAGGAUUAG